rnacentral:rRNA from 1 species
UGGGGGAUAUUGCACAAUGGGCGAAAGCCUGAUGCAGCGACGCCGCGUGGGGGAUGAAGGCUUUCGGGUUGUAAACCUCUUUCGCUAUCGAACAAGGCCCGCUUAGGGUGGGUUGAGGGUAGGUGGAGAAGAAGCGCCGGCUAACUACGUGCCAGCAGCCGCGGUAAUACGUAGGGCGCGAGCGUUGUCCGGAAUUAUUGGGCGUAAAGGGCUUGUAGGCGGCUUGUUGCGCCUGCUGUGAAAACGCGGGGCUUAACUUCGCGCGUGCAGUGGGUAAGGGCAGGCUUGAGUGUGGUAGAGGUGACUGGAAUUCCAGGUGUAGCGGUGGAAUGCGCAGAUAUCUGGAGGAACACCGAUGGCGAAGGCAGGUCACUGGGCCAUUACUGACGCUGAGGAGCGAAAGCAUGGGUAGCGAACAGG